UUUUGCAACUUUUGCUAGUUCUAGGUUUUUGAUGUUGUAUGCCCCGCUCUUCAGUUUUGCUUUAUAUAGUUGAAUUUAAUAACAAGAAAGCAUGCAUGUAUUUAAUUACAAGCAACUAAACUUUUAUGAUUCUUAUUUUAUUGGUUAACAAUUUUCUUCGUUUGUACCUUACAUUUAAUUUAAUUAUAAUGUCAAGGUGUUGUAAAUCCAUCGAGGGAUAAAUCCUCUACCAGUGCAAAGGUUUUAGCAUUGAUGGGCUGUUUUUAUAGCAUUGAGGAUUGGAUUGAAGCAAAGAAGUGGUAGCCUUGAGAACAAUAAACAUGGUUGGCUCAAUGACAACUGCUAUAUGGCUCAGGUAGGUAUAAACUUGAGAUACAACUUUAAACUCACAGCUUACCUAAAUUGAUGGUUUUAGUUAUAAAUUGAUUGCUUAUGUAUUUUCUUAUUCCUAGGACUAUUGUUUACAGAAAUAUCAGUACAAUAAUAUACAGAAAUAGUAAGGGUCCUUGGCAUUCUUAUUGUAAGAGUGAUUCUUUACUUGAUAUAGAUACUAGUGGAAUUCAUGCCUUAAAAUUUUUGAUUAAGUACCUCAAGAAAUGAGAUGAACAUAGUGACAUGGAGAUCGAGUGUGUUUCACCCAUGGAUGUAAGAGUAUCAUUAAGUGACAGGAAUACAAAUCACCAAGCAAGUACUUUCCACUUUUGUAUAUUUAUUUGUUGAGGAACUACUCUAGUCUCUAGAUUGUCUAGUGUUUAAGUUAUCAUAUAUGUGUUUGUAUAAUUUGGUUUGUAAUGUUUGUUAGUA